GAAUAAUGGAGAGGGGAAGAGGAGGAGGGAGGCAGGCUAACCCACUCCCGUUUUCUUUGGGUAAGGAGUAGAGAGAGAAGAAGAAACAAGGAAAAAAAAAAAAAAGAGGAGGAGAAUGAGAGGUGAAGAAGGAAGAGAGAAUAGUUUGAGGGGGUCACGAACGGAGAAAGUGGAGGAAUAAUGGAGAGAGGAGUAGUAGGGGGAAGAGGAGGGGGGAGCCAGGCUAACCCACUCCCGUUUUCUUUACCAGUCAGCGUGAAUAGACGACGUAAUGCCAAGGGUGACGACGCAUUUCACGAGACGAUCAGCUUCAUAUUCAUCACAUCUUCCUCUUCUCGCAACUUCCGCACCCCAAGCAGUCAGUCGUCAGGAAGGAAGGCUGCGUGGGCAUUGUUUAGUCUCCAUCACCCUCACCAGGACGCCCGCCCCUCCGUGUUUACAAACACUCGUCACCUCCACAUUCCCCGCCACGAGCAGAAAGCAGAAGCAGGCGGCUUACUUGGCACUUACUCCACGGUUGCCUGCCAGCUGAGGCGUCUCCCUGAGGUGUGCAGAACGUCUUUUCUCCCCAGCAUGCAGCCCUUGAGUUCGCCUGCCAACUGAAGUCUCUCUGUCGUGUGCAGUCUCUUCCCAACAGACACUAGUCACCUGCCAGCUUGUCUUCCCACCGUGUGCAUUUCGUCUCUCCUCCGGGACGGCUUGCUGGGAGACGCUUGACUGAAUCACGGUGCAGGACCAGGGGUCACCGCACACCACGCCUGAAAGUGUUUAUUGGAGUUGAUAGAUGUCUUUAAUUAUAUUUGUAAGCUGUUCAAUAAAGACGCUUGCACGGA